rnacentral:rRNA from 1 species
UAUUAUUACGCAUCCUGUAUCAGUGGUUGGAAUGAUGGGAAUUUAAACCUCUUCCAGAGUAUCAAUUGGAGGGCAAGUCUGGUGCCAGCAGCCGCGGUAAUUCCAGCUCCAAUAGCGUAUAUUAAAAUUGUUGCAGUUAAAAAGCUCGUAGUUGAAUUUCUGCUGCAUUACAUAUCUCUUGUUUGAGUUUGUUUUUGUGGCUUAUUUCGGUUUGAUUUUUUCUUUCCGGAUGAUUACUUUGAGAAAAUUAGAGUGCUCAAAGCAGGCUUUUGCCUUGAAUAGUUUAGCAUGGAAUAAUAAAGUAGGACUUUGGUUCUAUUUUGUUGGUUUUAGGGGCCUUCUCAUGGUUAACUUAGCAGUGUCAGGAUUGGGUAAUUACUGUGUCUCUUGUCACUACCUCCCUGUGUCAGGAUCCAAUCUACACCUAU